UACAGAGGUCCCAAGCGUUGUUCGGAUUUACUGGGCGUAAAGGGUGCGUAGGUGGCGGGGUAAGUCUGGUGUGAAAGCUCCGAGCUCAACUCGGAAAAGCAUUGGAAACUAUCCCGCUGGAGGGUCGGAGGGGAGACUGGAAUUCUCGGUGUAGCAGUGAAAUGCGUAGAGAUCAUGAGGAAGACCAGUGGCGAAGGCGGGUCUCUGGACAGUUCCUGACACUGAGACACGAAGGCCAGGGGAGCAAACGGG
rnacentral:rRNA from 1 species